UCCUACGGGAGGCAGCAGUGGGGAAUCUUGGACAAUGGGGGCAACCCUGAUCCAGCCAUGCCGCGUGUGUGAAGAAGGCCUUCGGGUUGUAAAGCACUUUCAGCAGGGAGGAAGGCUUACCCCUAAUACGGGUGAGUACUUGACGUUACCUGCAGAAGAAGCACCGGCUAAUUUCGUGCCAGCAGCCGCGGUAAUACGAAAGGUGCAAGCGUUAAUCGGAAUUACUGGGCGUAAAGCGCGCGUAGGCGGUGUGUUAAGUCGGAUGUGAAAGCCCAGGGCUCAACCUUGGAAUUGCAUCCGAUACUGGCACGCUAGAGUGCAGUAGAGGGAGGUGGAAUUUCCGGUGUAGCGGUGAAAUGCGUAGAGAUCGGAAGGAACACCAGUGGCGAAGGCGGCCUCCUGGACUGACACUGACGCUGAGGUGCGACAGCGUGGGGAGCAAACAGGAUUAGAUACCCUGGUAGUCCACGCUGUAAACGAUGUCUACUAGCCGUCGGGGUCCUUAGUGACUUUGGUGGCGCAGCUAACGCGAUAAGUAGACCGCCUGGGGAGUACGGCCGCAAGGUUAAAACUCAAAUGAAUUGACGG
rnacentral:rRNA from 1 species